rnacentral:sRNA from 1 species
AUAAACCCAAUUCUGGAACUGCACCACCCAACACACCUCCACACUUCAAACAUG